rnacentral:rRNA from 1 species
CCUACGGGAGGCAGCAGUGAGGAAUAUUGGUCAAUGGGCGCAAGCCUGAACCAGCCAAGUCGCGUGAGGGAUGACGGUCCUAUGGAUUGUAAACCUCUUUUGUCGGGGAGCAAGGCCCGCCACGUGUGGCGGGAAGGAGAGUACCCGAAGAAAAAGCAUCGGCUAACUCCGUGCCAGCAGCCGCGGUAAUACGGAGGAUGCGAGCGUUAUCCGGAUUUAUUGGGUUUAAAGGGUGCGUGGGCGGAAGGUUAAGUCAGCGGUAAAAUGUCGGUGCUCAACACCGGCCUGCCGUUGAAACUGGUCUUCUUGAGUGAGCGAGAAGUAUGCGGAAUGCGUGGUGUAGCGGUGAAAUGCAUAGAUAUCACGCAGAACUCCGAUUGCGAAGGCAGCAUACCGGCGCUCAACUGAUGCUGAGGCACGAAAGCGUGGGGAUCGAACAGGAUUAGAUACCCGAGUAGUC